rnacentral:rRNA from 1 species
UACGAAGGGAGCUAGCGUUGUUCGGAAUCACUGGGCGUAAAGCGCACGUAGGCGGAUGUGUCAGUCAGGGGUGAAAUCCCGGAGCUCAACUUCGGAACUGCCUUUGAUACAGCACGUCUUGAGUCCGGAAGAGGUGGGUGGAAUUCCUAGUGUAGAGGUGAAAUUCGUAGAUAUUAGGAAGAACACCGGUGGCGAAGGCGGCCCACUGGUCCGGUACUGACGCUGAGGUGCGAAAGCAUGGGGAGCGAACAGG